UACGGAGGGUGCAAGCGUUGUUCGGAAUUAUUGGGCGUAAAGCGCGUGUAGGCGGUUUUUUAAGUCUGACGUGAAAUCCCGGAGCUUAACUCCGGAACUGCGUUGGAUACUGCCGGGCUUGAGUGUGGGAGAGGAGAGUGGAAUUCCCAGUGUAGAGGUGAAAUUCGUAGAUAUUGGGAGGAACACCCGUGGCGAAGGCGGCUCUCUGGACCACAACUGACGCUGAGGCGCGAAAGCUAGGGUAGCAAACGGGAUUAGAAACCCCUGUAGU
rnacentral:rRNA from 1 species